ensembl:lncRNA
GCCAUCUCAACCACCUCUGCUAUUGGUCUUAACAACAACAAGGCGGGAAGGGUUUUGGGAUGUGAUCAUUAGAACAGUAAGCAACACUGCAGAAGUGGAAAAAAGUAUUUGCAUUCUUUAAAAAACAAAGUUGCACAUAUAGUAUCACAGGAUAUAAAAGGAAACUUUCUUACUCCUUGGGCUUGUGAUGAAUUUUGGGCCUAACAUUGGUGAACUGAGACAUGUCUGGUUUUAAUCAACCACCUCCAAGGUUAUUCUUCAGGGUUGCAUAAAGUAAUUUAUAUUUAAGUUAAAAAAUCCUUUAAAGCAAUUGCAUGUGCUGUAAAGAGCAGGCAUUUUGGAUCUGUAGUCUGGUGUCUGCUGUUACUGUAAACAGCUCUUUUGACGCCCUUGGGUAACGGAAAGUCUGCUAAAUUCAAGACUGAAG